rnacentral:rRNA from 1 species
CAAUAGCGUAUAUUAAAGUUGUUGCGGUUAAAAAGCUCGUAGUUGGAUUUCUGCUGAGGACGACCGGUCCGCCCUCUGGGUGAGUAUCUGGCUCGGCCUCGGCAUCUUCUUGGAGAACGUAACUGCACUUGACUGUGUGGUGCGGUAUCCAGGACUUUUACUUUGAGGAAAUUAGAGUGUUUCAAGCAGGCGCACGCCUUGAAUACAUUAGCAUGGAAUAAUGAGAUAGGACCUUGGUUCUAUUUUGUUGGUUUCUAGAGCUGGGGUAAUGAUUAAUAGGGAUAGUUGGGGGCAUUCGUAUUUAACUGUCAGAGGUGGAAUUCUUGGAUUUGUUAAAGACGGACUACUGCGAAAGCAUUUGCCAAGGAUGUUUUCAUUGA